rnacentral:rRNA from 1 species
GAUGAACGCUGGCGGCGUGCCUAAUACAUGCAAGUCGAGCGAACGGACGAGAAGCUUGCUUCUCUGAUGUUAGCGGCGGACGGGUGAGUAACACGUGGAUAACCUACCUAUAAGACUGGGAUAACUUCGGGAAACCGGAGCUAAUACCGGAUAAUAUUUUGAACCGCAUGGUUCAAAAGUGAAAGACGGUCUUGCUGUCACUUAUAGAUGGAUCCGCGCUGCAUUAGCUAGUUGGUAAGGUAACGGCUUACCAAGGCAACGAUGCAUAGCCGACCUGAGAGGGUGAUCGGCCACACUGGAACUGAGACACGGUCCAGACUCCUACGGGAGGCAGCAGUAGGGAAUCUUCCGCAAUGGGCGAAAGCCUGACGGAGCAACGCCGCGUGAGUGAUGAAGGUCUUCGGAUCGUAAAACUCUGUUAUUGGGGAAGAACAUAUGUGUAAGUAACUGUGCACAUCUUGACGGUACCUAAUCAGAAAGCCACGGCUAACUACGUGCCAGCAGCCGCGGUAAUACGUAGGUGGCAAGCGUUAUCCGGAAUUAUUGGGCGUAAAGCGCGCGUAGGCGGUUUUUUAAGUCUGAUGUGAAAGCCCACGGCUCAACCGUGGAGGGUCAUUGGAAACUGGAAAACUUGAGUGCAGAAGAGGAAAGUGGAAUUCCAUGUGUAGCGGUGAAAUGCGCAGAGAUAUGGAGGAACACCAGUGGCGAAGGCGACUUUCUGGUCUGUAACUGACGCUGAUGUGCGAAAGCGUGGGGAUCAAACAGGAUUAGAUACCCUGGUAGUCCACGCCGUAAACGAUGAGUGCUAAGUGUUAGGGGGUUUCCGCCCCUUAGUGCUGCAGCUAACGCAUUAAGCACUCCGCCUGGGGAGUACGACCGCAAGGUUGAAACUCAAAGGAAUUGACGGGGACCCGCACAAGCGGUGGAGCAUGUGGUUUAAUUCGAAGCAACGCGAAGAACCUUACCAAAUCUUGACAUCCUUUGACAACUCUAGAGAUAGAGCCUUCCUCUUCGGGGGACAAAGUGACAGGUGGUGCAUGGUUGUCGUCAGCUCGUGUCGUGAGAUGUUGGGUUAAGUCCCGCAACGAGCGCAACCCUUAAGCUUAGUUGCCAUCAUUAAGUUGGGCACUCUAAGUUGACUGCCGGUGACAAACCGGAGGAAGGUGGGGAUGACGUCAAAUCAUCAUGCCCCUUAUGAUUUGGGCUACACACGUGCUACAAUGGACAAUACAAAGGGCAGCGAAACCGCGAGGUCAAGCAAAUCCCAUAAAGUUGUUCUCAGUUCGGAUUGUAGUCUGCAACUCGACUACAUGAAGCUGGAAUCGCUAGUAAUCGUAGAUCAGCAUGCUACGGUGAAUACGUUCCCGGGUCU